AUUGAACGCUGGCGGCAGGCCUAACACAUGCAAGUCGAACGGUAACAGAAAGCAGCUUGCUGCUUUGCUGACGAGUGGCGGACGGGUGAGUAAUGUCUGGGAAACUGCCUGAUGGAGGGGGAUAACUACUGGAAACGGUAGCUAAUACCGCAUAACGUCGCAAGACCAAAGAGGGGGACCUUCGGGCCUCUUGCCAUCGGAUGUGCCCAGAUGGGUUUAGCUAGUAGGUGGGGUAACGGCUCACCUAGGCGACGAUCCCUAGCUGGUCUGAGAGGAUGACCAGCCACACUGGAACUGAGACACGGUCCAGCCUCCUACGGGAGGCAGCAGUGGGGAAUAUUGCACAAUGGGCGCAAGCCUGAUGCAGCCAUGCCGCGGGUAUGAAGAAGGCCUUCGGGUUGUAAAGUACUUUCAGCGGGGAGGAAGGGAGUAAAGUUAAUACCUUUGCUCAUUGACGUUACCCGCAGAAGAAGCACCGGCUAACUCCGUG
rnacentral:rRNA from 1 species